GACGAACGCUGGCGGCGUGCUUAACACAUGCAAGUCGAACGGAAAGGCCCUGCUUUUGUGGGGUGCUCGAGUGGCGAACGGGUGAGUAACACGUGAGUAACCUGCCCUUGACUUUGGGAUAACUUCAGGAAACUGGGGCUAAUACCGGAUAGGAGCUCCUGCUGCAUGGGGGGGGUUGGAAAGUUUCGGCGGUUGGGGAUGGACUCGCGGCUUAUCAGCUUGUUGGUGGGGUAGUGGCUUACCAAGGCUUUGACGGGUAGCCGGCCUGAGAGGGUGACCGGCCACAUUGGGACUGAGAUACGGCCCAGACUCCUACGGGAGGCAGCAGUGGGGAAUAUUGCACAAUGGGCGGAAGCCUGAUGCAGCGACGCCGCGUGCGGGAUGACGGCCUUCGGGUUGUAAACCGCUUUCGCCUGUGACGAAGCGUGAGUGACGGUAAUGGGUAAAGAAGCACCGGCUAACUACGUG
rnacentral:rRNA from 1 species